rnacentral:rRNA from 1 species
UGCUGUNAUGUCACAGGCUGUUCAUGCAAGUCGAGCGACAGAGAUNGGUACGCGCGGGUGAGUAACACGUGGGCAACCUACCUUAUAGUUUGGGAUAACUCCGGGAAACCGGGGCUAAUACCGAAUAAUCUAUUUUACUUCAUGGUGAAAUACUGAAAGACGGUUUCGGCUGUCGCUAUAAGAUGGGCCCUGCUGNGCUGCAUUAGUUAGUUGGUGAGGUAACGGCUCACCAAGGCGACGAUGCGUAGCCGACCUGAGAGGGUGAUCGGCCACACUGGGACUGAGACACGGCCCAGACUCCUACGGGAGGCAGCAGUAGGGAAUCUUCCACAAUGGGCGAAACGCCUGAUAGGAGCAACGCCGCGUAGAGUGAACGAAGGUACCCGGAUACGUAAAACUACUGAGGUCAAGGGGAAAGAACCAAGUAACAGUAAGUAACUAGGGCUAGGAACCCUUAGGACGGUGAACCCUUANUAA